rnacentral:lncRNA from 1 species
GGGUAUUACCAGUGUCAAUUGUAGGCACGUGAACCUUCAGCAGUUAAUGAAUUCCCAUGUAUGGCAAAACUCCACAAGUAUAAUAAGAUAUGGAGCAAUUAAAGAUCCUCAAGGAUAAUUUUUUUUUUGUGUGUGUGUGUGGGAACAAAUAUGGAAAUCAAGCACCCAAGACCAAUAUGAUACCGUAUUAGAAUUGCAAAUUACACUCCAAAAGUAAGAGAGUGUCCAGAACUUAUCUGAUUUGGGAACGACUGAAUUAUGCAAUUUUAGGAACUUGAUUUGCCGAACUGUAAUUACUGAGAUCCUGUCCACUUAUCUGCUAUUUCUGAACUUUUCCUCCACAUUACAUGAUAUUUCUAAACUCUUCCUUCCACUGAAAUGAUAUUUCCGAACUUUUCUUCCACUAAUUGAUUAUUCCAAACUGUUUCCUUCACUGAAUUGAUAUUUCCGAAAACUUCCCACCAAACUGAUAUUUUGACUUCAGUGCUGACGCGGCAGUGCGACGUGGUGCUGACGUGGCAGUGCUGACGUGGCGCUGACGUGUCCUGCUGGACGUGGCGAUCCGGGGCGCCCUGGAUGACGUGGUGCUGCGUGGGGCUUGUCUAGGGCGACUGGGUCAACGCGUCGUCUUCAGCCGUGGCGCGUGGGCGCGUGCGUGUUAGUAGAUCUCACGCGCCGACAGUUGGGUGGCGCGUGAGGGCGCGUGCGUGGGUGGAUCGGACGUUUGGAUGAUUCUGACUCGUCUCGUCGCGCCGACACGGUGGGUGCUAUGAAAGUGAUUUUGGGACAACUUUUGUACAGGACCGAGACAAGGUACUCAACCUUACCUGUUAACCUUUCGUUUGUUUUUUAACUGCUAUCUUGCUUAUGUAAAUGUUUACGAGAAAAGAUUCACAGUGAUGGAAUUAUCAAAAGCACCAUCAUGAUCCUAAAAUUGUUUAUAUGGUUCAAAUUUCCAUGCUUUGAGGGCCUUGUUGGAAAAAUAAACUUGUUUUUUAUUAGUAGCAUUUGGGAGUUAUAUUUUGCUAUAGUUACUUAACUAAGUAGUGGUGUGAGUGGGGUGUUAAUAUUCGAGAAGUAGUGAAGGAGUAGUAGAAUAAUGAUGUAAUGGUUAUAAUGUUAGCGGAAGAGAUGAUUGUGUAGUGGAGGACAUGGUUGUUAAUGUAAAACUCUGAGUUACACGCUUGAGUCCUAGAAAUGGCUAUACAAGCACGAGGCAGGGUAAAAUAGUGGAAGGAGUAUAGAGUAAAUGAAUGAGUGAAAUGAAAUAAUCGUAUUUUCCCUUCAAUUAUCUUCUUGUUUGUGUGUUAGUCUCUUGCCUCGACUUUGCAACAGGCAACAGCCCUAGCCAAAUAGCCAUUCACGGAAUCUUAUCUAUUAUACGCUUCUCUGUACUUCAUAUUUUCACCUGUUUUUCCCCCCAUCUUUUGUGGGCAUUUCACUGUAAACACACACACUGGUACACAUAGUUGGGAUGGAUAGCAUGACCAUCAAAUAAUUUACAGCACUAUUCUUUCAGUAGCUUGAACUGUUCUUUUGAGAAGUACAUGGGAAAUCGUUUUAUUGAUGGGCUCUUUUGUGGGUGAUAUGUGCAGGUUUGUACUUUUAGGGACAAUACGAAUGCGAUGACUUUGUGGGUCUUACAGUGACCAUCAGAUACAUUGCUUUUGGCAAUUGGCAGUGAAACAAUUAGGUAUAUUUUACGCGACAAGGCUAGUAGUAUUUUGCUCGAACCACCAAAAAUAAUUGAAAAUUUUGGGACUUGCAACUAGACAGCGAUUAAACUGCUGAUACUUGCAACUUGAAUUGUGAGAUCAUUUGCAAAGGAAAGUAGUUCAAGAGAAAAAAGGAAUGAAGUAGGUAGGUUGCGCUGGAUGAUUAUUUUUUAUAUAUUGAUGAUAUGGAUCUUGACUCAGAAAAUGAGGAUAAUGUGAUAUUGGUAAAAUUAGUAGGUAUCGCGAGGCAGAGGUAAAAAGUGUAACAAAGACAACGGCGAUUGAUCGUGUAACUCGUGUUCUUAUGUUGAUUAAUGUGUUGGAAAAAUUAUGUUUUUG